GAGAUGGAGUUCCCCUCUCGUUGCCCAGGCUGGAGUGGAAUGGCACGAUCUUGGCUCAACACAACCUCUGCCUCCCGGGUUCAAGCGAUUCUCCUGCCUCAGCCUCCCAAGUAGCUGGGAUUACAGGCAUGCGCCACCACGCCCAGCUAAUUUUGUAUUUUUAGUAGAGACGGGGUUUCUCCAUGUUGGUCAGGCUGGUCUCGCGCUCCCGACCUCAGGUGAUCUGCCUGCCUCAGCCUCCCAAAGUGUUGGGAUUACAGGCGUGAGCCACCACACCUGGCUGGGGAGAUGCUUCUUAUGAGAAUUUUACAUGAUUAUUCAUGAAGGGGUCAUGCAGGGGCGUUACUAGUAAGCAUGUGUUGGGAACUGGUCUGGGCACACAUGUGCCAUGUCAUUUGGAUCUAAAGUCUAACAAGGAAUUUCUGGUUAAAAAAUAAAAUCUCCACACAGGUGUGUGGUUUUUUUUAUUAUUUUAAUGAACAAAAUGGUAUAUUAGGGUGAAUUAUUAGAGAAGUAUACAUGCUUCUUAGUGGGGAAUAGCUCCUACCUUGGUAACCUCUGGCUGGGCCUUGAUAAGUUCCCUUCUGGAACAGAGGAAUGCAGCCACAAGGCCAGGUGUAGCCAGUGUAGCCACGCUCCUCCUUUUGCUGACUCAGCGUGCAGCGUUUCCAAGGAGGCCAUCAGCGGGCUGCAUUUCUAAAGAUUCCUUUCCCAGGGGCUUCCUUGCCUGCUCUUGUCUGGCUACCUGCCUACCCUAACAGUAUUCCCCCUCAAGAGUUGGAGACCCUGAAAAGCUUUGGGCAUAAGGACGUCGUGGGUCUUCUGUAACUACUUCCUGCUGACGUGGGACGAAGAAGUCAUCAGGGUCUCCCUCUCUUGCUCUCUGUCAGGGAAGGAGCCCCUCCGUAGUUGCAGAAUCUUUGCCCACUGGCAUCCAAGGGAGAUAUGUACUUGUAGGUGCUGGGACCUCCAAGGAAGAUUGGAUGAUCUCUUUCCAUUUUUAGGGGCUCUGUGUGAAAUUGCCAUAUCCUGGAAGAGACAUAUUUAAUUAGUGAAUUAUAGAGACAAGGGCCAAAGAGGAGAAAGCAGGCUAUUAAGUGCAGCUGGUCCCAGUAAAGGGACAAACCAUGUGAGGGAGGGGAGGGCAGACUUCACAGCCUCCCAAAUGGACCCUGCUGAAUCACCUUUUCCAAAGUUAUGGAGCCACGUAACCUCAUCAUAGAUCUUUUUUAUAUCCUCCUCUAUCGCCCCACUGUUAUUGACAUAAAUGCAACAGGAUUUACUGAUCACUGCACAGACUCCACCCUGCUCUGCUAAGAGGUAAUCUAAGGCCAAUCUGUUGUUCAUGACUACAUUUGCUAGAGAAUCUAUGGAGGCCUUGAGUUUAGAGAUGCUAUCUCUGGUACUCUUAGCUAUGUUGUCUAUUUGUCUGGAGAGAUUUCUGAGGGUGACAUCAUGAUAAGUGAACCCUCCCCAUGGGGCGAUCAUUCCUAUGGCCGCACCCAUCCCUGCCAGUAUUAGACCCAGAGCUCUUUUCUGUCUGGGUUGGGUGGUGUUAUAAAUGGUCACACCUAUCCCCCGUGGUCCCAAAAGUCCCACAGCACAUUCUCCCGUAUGUUGGAUGUUAUUAAUGCAAGUGUAGAGGUUUGCCACAGGGGGGGUUGAAUAAGUUAUCUUAGGACUUCCAUCAAAGGGCAGUUUAUUUUUUUGUGGCCCACAUAAAAAUACAUAGCCAGGAGGGGUACAGGCCCACCGGGGGAUGUGGCUGUCGAACCACUUGUGUAACUGCGAUUUCCACCCUGCUGGAAUAGUUUGAUUGCAUGCAGGGGAUAGAGGCCCUCCCAGGGGAACAGUAGAUUUUGGCCAUGUGGGGACAGUGUGUGCCUUGGGAAGCAAAUAUAGAACCCUCCAUGUGAUUAGCUCUUUUCCUUCCCAAGCUGCACAGCGGUUUUGGGGUGACUUGUCUCGAUAAUCGUUCAUUUGUUUAGCUGGGGAGAAGCUCAUGGGAUGGAUGGUGGGACUGGGGAAUCCCUCCUCAGAGGUGUUCUUCCUGUCACAGUGUCCUUCAGGGCAUGGACAACAGGUUUGGUUUAGAGAAGAGCAGUUGUAGAAAUAGAAAGAAGUUUUAGAGCUUUGAUUGAAAGGUGGAGUGAGAUCCAGGCAGGGGACUUGGUGCGCUGAGUUAGCAAGCGAAACCUGGAGCGGAACAGAUUU
rnacentral:lncRNA from 1 species